AUGGCAGAAGUGAGUCCGAAGACCACCAUCGAGGCCCUUGGACACAUAGAAGUACACCCCCGUCUGUUCGGUCAGGGCGUGAUUGGCAAGGACAAGGAGGCCGAAGGGGCCAAGCGCGCCGCGGGUGGCAGCGCCUCUGCUGGUGGUGCAGUUGUAGCUAACAUCGGCCUCGUUGAGGGCCUCAAUGGCGGAGGCAUCGAUGCGGAAGGUUGCCUCGAUGUCGAGCUGAGCGGUCUGGUGGAGGGGGAGGAAGGCAACGGAGCCGGCGCCGACGGUGAUGCCACUAAGAUCGGUGGUGUUGAUGCGGAGGGUAUUGAGCUCCUCCACCGGCCAUUGGAUGAGGUUCGUCCGGGUCUUCUCGUCAAGCUCCACUGUCCUCGGAAUCGACUGCACGCGCAAUACACACCAUUAAGUCAGUGGAUCCAAUAA
rnacentral:rRNA from 1 species